UACGAAGGUGGCAAGCGUUGUUCGGAUUUACUGGGCGUACAGGGAGCGUAGGCGGUUGGAUAAGCCCUCCGUGAAAUCUCCAGGCUUAACCUGGAAAGUGCAGAGGGGACUGUUCAGCUAGAGGAUGGGAGAGGAGCGCGGAAUUCCCGGUGUAGCGGUGAAAUGCGUAGAUAUCUGGAGGAACACCGGUGGCGAAGGCGACAUCCUGGACCACGACUGACGCUGAGGAGCGAAAGCCAGGGGAGCAAACGGG
rnacentral:rRNA from 1 species